rnacentral:rRNA from 1 species
GACGAACGCUGGCGGCGUGCCUAAUACAUGCAAGUCGAACGCAGUGUCGAACGGGUGAGUAACGCGUAUGUAACUGCCUCAUAGCGGGGGGUAACUAUUGGAAACGAUAGCUAAUACCGCAUACUGUGAGCUGGACCUGCGUUGGAUUAGCUAGUUGGUUAGGUAAAGGCUCACCAAGGCGACGCUCCAUAGCCGACCUGAGAGGGGGAUCGGCCACACUGGGACUGAGACACGGCCCAGACUCCUACGGGAGGCAGCAGUAGGGAAUCUUCGGAAAUGGACGGAAGUCUGACCGAGCAACGCCGCGUGAGUGAAGAAGGUUUUCGGAUUGUAAAGCUCUGUUGUUAGAGAAGCGGUACCUAACCAGAAAGCGACGGCUAACUACGUGCCAGCAGCCGCGGUAAUAC